UGGGGAAUAUUGCACAAUGGGCGCAAGCCUGAUGCAGCCAUGCCGCGUGUAUGAAGAAGGCCUUCGGGUUGUAAAGUACUUUCAGCGGGGAGGAAGGUGUUGUGGUUAAUAACCACAGCAAUUGACGUUACCCGCAGAAGAAGCACCGGCUAACUCCGUGCCAGCAGCCGCGGUAAUACGGAGGGUGCAAGCGUUAAUCGGAAUUACUGGGCGUAAAGCGCACGCAGGCGGUGUGUCAAGUCGGAUGUGAAAUCCCCGGGCUCAACCUGGGAACUGCAUCCGAAACUGGCAGGCUUGAGUCUUGUAGAGGGGGGUAGAAUUCCAGGUGUAGCGGUGAAAUGCGUAGAGAUCUGGAGGAAUACCGGUGGCGAAGGCGGCCCCCUGGACAAAGACUGACGCUCAGGUGCGAAAGCGUGGGGGGCAAACA
rnacentral:rRNA from 1 species